AGACUUCGCUCAUUUACUUCAUACAGACAGGGAUUUCUAUGUGUCUGUGUGGUAGAUUUAUGAUGACCAUGUGCACAUUGGUGAUUAUUCUGUAGGGAUGUGACCCUUUAAGAUAACUACUCAUGUACAAAAUGGCUUAUGCUAGAGGCCAAAAUUAUCAGAAGCAGUAUGCAAUGAACCACAGGCAUGUAGACAUCAUCUGCUUAGCCAAGCACUUACUAAAUGCAGACACAUGUACAACUUCAGAGUUCAUGCAGAACUAAGUCUAAUCCACCCACAGAAUCCCCGGUAUUAAUAAUGGCAGUUUAAGCAAUCCUAUGAUUUUUCUUUGUAAUUAUUCAUUACUUUGUUUGUUUUUCUAUCAUUGUUCACAAAAGCUCAAUUCUCGAAUAGGACAAAUAUAACCAUGUAUAUUUCAAAACAGUGAAACUUCUGUUCAUGAUCAUUAUGACUGGAAAAUAAAUACUGAACUAAAAGCCAUCUUCACAUCACAGAAAAUAUUCUUGAUGGUAAAUAUUUAAUCACAUAGAUGCCACUUUUAGUUGAAAGUAGUGCCAAAGGUGUUGUGAGUAAUUGAUACUACAAUCUACAUAUUCUGUCCACUAUGAUAAAACAUUAAAUUUGAAUAACAUGCUUCCUUUUGUACAAAUAAAAGAAACAAAAUGUGUGAAUGACAGAGUUGACCUGCUGUAAAUGUCACUACUUGUCCCAGAUUAGUACAUCAAUUUUUUAUUUCAUAGUCAGUUCUAUUUGGGAAAUCUUUCCCUUUUACUAAAAAGUUCACAAUUUUUGCUUAAGAUAAUAAGAAAUUUAUUAAUCUUGUUUUCAACGAUGGUAAGAAAGAAAUAUGUUUUCUUUUAUAAUGUUUGUAAGAUGAAGUCCCUUGUCAAUAUUGAUAAUUUUAUACAGAACACAAUGGGAUAUCUUUACAAGAUGAUGCAUAAUAUUUUUACAUAAAUAGAAAAAAAUAGUAGUUUUGUGAUUUAGGCUCAAUGAAUUCUAUUAUCUUCAUAGUUUUGAAGAUAACAGAUUGAACUCAAUUAAACUCAAAGUUGUUUAAUGCUAACUAUUGUUAAUGAAACAUCUUUGACCUUAUUGUAGACUGAUGCAAGUUGCAGUAUAUGAGUAUUUGAGAAAGUGUCUUGGGUCGUUUUGCCAACAAGGCUGAUUUUUGUGAUUUACUCUUACACUACAAAAUCAGAAACCAAUUCACAGAUAUAAGCAAAUGGUUGCUUUUAAUGCCCAUCUUGCUAACUGUAUAGAGUUUGUAAAUGUAAAGUCCAAAGCAGAGAGGCUAGCUACGGGAUUAUACUUCACCACUACCUCCUCACCCACUUCAUUAUUAAAAGAGAUUGUGUUCUUAAUUAUAAUCUGGUGAUAUUUAUGGAAUGUUCUCUGAUAUAUAAAAAUCAAAACAAACAAAAGAACAACAAC
rnacentral:lncRNA from 1 species